AUUGAACGCUGGCGGCAUGCCUUACACAUGCAAGUCGAACGGUAACAGGUCUUCGGAUGCUGACGAGUGGCGAACGGGUGAGUAACACAUCGGAACGUGCCUAGUAGUGGGGGAUAACUACUCGAAAGAGUGGCUAAUACCGCAUGAGAUCUACGGAUGAAAGCAGGGGAUCGCAAGACCUUGCGCUACUAGAGCGGCCGAUGGCAGAUUAGGUAGUUGGUGGGAUAAAAGCUUACCAAGCCGACGAUCUGUAGCUGGUCUGAGAGGACGAUCAGCCACACUGGGACUGAGACACGGCCCAGACUCCUACGGGAGGCAGCAGUGGGGAAUUUUGGACAAUGGGCGCAAGCCUGAUCCAGCAAUGCCGCGUGCAGGAUGAAGGCCUUCGGGUUGUAAACUACUUUUGUACGGAACGAAAAGCCCUGGGUUAAUACCCUGGGGUCAUGACGGUACCGUAAGAAUAAGCACCGGCCAACUACGUGCCAGCCGCCGCAGUAA
rnacentral:rRNA from 1 species